UGACCUCUGCCCUCAUGCGCAUCCUCAUGCGCUCCCGCGUGCUCAACGAGGAGCCCCUGAUGCUGGCGGGCGAGGAGAUCGUGGCCCAGGGCAAGCGCUCGGACCCGCGGAGCCUGCUGUGCUAUGGCGGCGCCCCAGGGCCUGGCUGCCACUUCUCCAUCCCCGAGGCUUUCAGCGGGGCCCUGGCCAACCUCAGUGACGUGGUGCAGCUCAUCUUUCUGGUGGACUCCAAUCCCUUUCCCUUUGGCUAUAUCAGCAACUACACCGUCUCCACCAAGGUGGCCUCGAUGGCAUUCCAGACACAGGCCGGCGCCCAGAUCCCCAUCGAGCGGCUGGCCUCAGAGCGCGCCAUCACCGUGAAGGUGCCCAACAACUCGGACUUGGCUGCCCGGGGCCACCGCAGCUCCGCCAACUCCGUUGUGGUCCAGCCCCAGGCCUCCGUCGGUGCUGUGGUCACCCUGGACAGCAGCAACCCUGCGGCCGGGCUGCAUCUGCAGCUCAACUAUACGCUGCUGGACGGCCGCUACCUGUCUGAGGAACCCGAGCCCUACCUGGCAGUCUACCUGCACUCGGAGCCCCGGCCCAAUGAGCACAACUGCUCGGCUAGCAGGAGGAUCCGCCCAGAGUCACUCCAGGGUGCCGACCACCGGCCCUACACCUUCUUCAUUUCCCCGGGGAGCAGAGACCCAGCGGGGAGUUACCAUCUGAACCUCUCCAGCCACUUCCGCUGGUCAGUGCUGGAGGUGUCCGUGGGCCUGUACACGUCCCUGUGUCAGUACUUCAGCGAGGAGGACAUGGUGUGGAGGACAGAGGGGCUGCUGCCCCUGGAGGAGACCUCGCCCCGCCAGGCCGUCUGCCUCACCCGCCACCUCACCGCCUUCGGCGCCAGCCUCUUCGUGCCCCCAAGCCAUGUCCGCUUUGUCUUUCCGGAGCCGACAGCGGAUGUAAACUACAUCGUCAUGCUGACAUGUGCUGUGUGCCUGGUGACCUACAUGGUCAUGGCCGCCAUCCUGCACAAGCUGGACCAGUUGGAUGCCAGCCGAGGCCGCGCCAUCCCCUUCUGUGGGCAGCGGGGCCGCUUCAAGUACGAGAUCCUCGUCAAGACAGGCUGGGGCCGGGGCUCAGGUACCACGGCCCACGUGGGCAUCAUGCUGUAUGGGGUGGACAGCCGGAGUGGCCACCGGCACCUGGACGGCGACAGAGCCUUCCACCGCAACAGCCUGGACAUCUUCCGGAUCGCCACCCCGCAUAGCCUGGGUAGCGUGUGGAAGAUCCGAGUGUGGCACGACAACAAAGGGCUCAGCCCUGCCUGGUUCCUGCAGCACAUCAUCGUCAGGGACCUGCAGACGGCACGCAGCGCCUUCUUCCUGGUCAAUGACUGGCUUUCGGUGGAGACGGAGGCCAACGGGGGCCUGGUGGAGAAGGAGGUGCUGGCCGCGAGCGACGCAGCCCUGUUGCGCUUCCGGCGCCUGCUGGUGGCUGAGCUGCAGCGCGGCUUCUUUGACAAGCACAUCUGGCUCUCCAUAUGGGACCGGCCGCCUCGUAGCCGUUUCACUCGCAUCCAGAGGGCCACCUGCUGCGUUCUCCUCAUCUGCCUCUUCCUGGGCGCCAACGCCGUGUGGUACGGGGCUGUUGGCGACUCUGCCUACAGCACGGGGCGUGUGUCCAGGCUGAGCCCGCUGAGUGUCGACACAGUCGCUGUUGGCCUGGUGUCCAGCGUGGUUGUCUAUCCCGUCUACCUGGCCAUCCUCUUUCUCUUCCGGAUGUCCCGGAGCAAGGUGGGCUGGGGCUGGGGACCCGGGAGUACUGGGAAUGGAGCCUGGGCCUUGGCACCAUGCCCAGGGCCGCCACUUUCCAGUGCUGCAGCCAGAGGGAAAGGCGUCCACCAAAGGCUGCUCGGGAAGGGUCAACACACUUGAGCAGCCUUAGCUAGACUGACCAGGGAGAAAGAGAGAAGACUCAGAAGCCAGAAUCGUGAAAGAACGAGGGCACUUUGCUAAGCAGACGCCACGGACAACUGCACAGCAGCACGCCAGAUAACUCAGAAGAAGCAAGCACACGGCUGUGCACGCUUCCGAAAUGCACUCCAGAAGAAAAUCUCAGUACAUCUGUAGCAAGUGAAGAGGCCGAGUUAGUCCCUUAGAAACCUCCCAGUGGCCGGGCCGGGUGUGGUGGCUCAUGCCUGUAAUCCCAACACUUCAGGAGGCCGAGGUGGGCGGAUCUGAGUCCAGGAGUUUGAGACCAGCCUGGGCAACAUAGCAAGACCCCAUCUAUAUAAAACAUUAAAGAGGGCCAGGCGCGGUGGCUCACACCUGUAAUCCCAGCACUUUGGGAGGCCGAGGCG
rnacentral:sRNA from 1 species